rnacentral:lncRNA from 10 species
GACUCCGCCCAGCCGCGCCACCCAGGUAGGUGCGCCUGCGCUUUGCGAGGUUCCUGGCUAGGGAGGCGGCCUUGGCUGGCUUGACCGUCAUCCUUGAGGCCUGCGGGGCAACGGUGGCUGUCCUUGGCCCGGCUUUGGAAUGUGGCUUUGCAGGGCUGGUGUUGGCGCCAUUCUCGCAGGCCCACGUGCUCCUGCUCUUCCAGGGUGUCCUCGGCUGUUUCUCCUGCCGCGGCGCAGCAGCGCUCCCAGGCUGCCCCCGCGAUAACACGCCCCUGGCAGCCAGGCUCCCAGCUCUGUUACGUGCCCGGGCGGGGAAGAGCUUCCUGGUGUCUCCCGGCUCCUGCCCUUCUCCCGCCCCAGGGGCGGGCUGCCGCCGCCCUCUGCAGCUGAGUCAGUGCAGUUCCUCACCUACCUUCUCUGCUCACCGCUGUGUGCUAGCAAUCGGAGGACCCUUGGCACACGGAGCGACAGGGGCCUCCCCCACAGACACCUCAUUUUGGGAAAGAAAUGGAGUCUCGCUCUGUGGCCAGGCUGGAGUGCAGUGGCGCGAUCUUGGCUCACUGCAACCUCCGCCUCCCCGGUUCAAGUGGUUCUCCUGCCUCAGCCUCCUGAGUAGCUGGGACUACAGGCGUGUGCCACCCCGUCCAGCUAAUUUCUGUAUUUUUAGUAGAGGCGGGGUUUCACCAUGUUGGCCAGGAUGGUCUUGUUCUCUUGACCUGGUGAUCCGCCCUCCUCAGCCUCCCAAAGUGUUGGGAUUACAGGCGUGAGCCACUGUGCCUGGCCUGUACAAGUUUUUAUCCACAGCCUGUUUCUCUUCUUGUACUUUCUCCCAGGGCAGUCCCAUUUCACGUCUGUAAUUUCUAGUACCACCUAUAUACUCAGGGUAGCAAAGGAUGUAUCUCUAACCUAGACUUCUCCCUCAGGUGACAGUCCUGGAUAUCUGACUAUUUUGUGGACAACUCUUGGAUGAUCUGAAACUGAAAGAUUCAUUCCACAAAUAGUUAUGUGUAUCUAGUAUGUGCCAAGCAUUGUUGUUUUCUUGUCCCUCGUCCCCACUCCCCUGGUGUUAGUGGGGAUAUAGCAGUGAAAAACAAAAACAAACAACAGAUUAAAAGUCCUGCCUUGACAGAAUUUAUAUUCUAGUGGAGGAGUCAUACAAACAAGAAAAGUGAGUACAUUAUGGGUGUUACAUAAUUAUAAUAGCUAAUUCGAAAUAAAGCAGGAAAUAAGGCUAGGUGCUAGGGGCAUGGGAGACCUAUCAAUUUUAUAGUGGUCAGAGAAGGCUUCAUUGAGAAGGUGACAUUUGAGUAAAGACUUGAAGGAGGUGAAGAAAUGAAACUUGAGACUUGUGACUAAUUGUCACAGCAUUCCAGGUCAAGGAAGCAGCCAAUUCCUCGUUCUAAGGCAGGAAGUCGUGUUGGGGAUGGCAGUAAGAGUGAGUGGAGCAGAGUGAGCACAAGGAGGAGCAUUCGGAGAUGAAGUCAGAGGCUGGGCCGUGCGCCCUGUUGUAGGUCAGUGAAAGGACUUUAGGUUUUACUCUAGGGUUAAAAGUCCCUAAAGGGUUUUGAGUAGAAGCUUGACAUAGUUUGAUUAAAAAAAUUUGUUUUUUCUAGUUGUUUGGUUGAGAAUAGACUGAAGUGGGGCAAAGGCAGAAGCAGAGAGACCAGAUAGGAAGCUGCUCCCAAUAAGGCUGGUGAGAGGGUGGCUUGGAUCUGGUGUAGGUGUGGUGCUCGGGCCCGAGAGAUGCAGUGAGUCAGUGCCGAGGCCAUGUCGGGGGACAGACUGCCUUGCUUUCAGUGGAGCUUGGUUCUGGAUCUGGGACAAAAGUGGUGGGAAGAUCCCAGCUCAAUUUUGAAGGUAGAACAGAUUGGACGUGACGUGGUGCACGAGAGAAAGAAAGGCAAAAGAGAUGAACCUAAGGUUUCUGAUUAAAUGUUAGACAUUGUGUAGGAAAAAAAUCACAUAGAGGCUCUGGCAAAAAAAAAAAAACUAAAUAAAUAAAUAAAAAAUAAAUAAAUAAAUUGCAUAGAGACUGUGGCUGAUGUUGUGUUUCUCCAGAAAGGAUUUAAUUUUAUUCUGGCAAGCAAUUAGAGUAGGAACGGAUGACUUUUUUUUUUUUUUUUUUUGAGGCGGAGUUUUGCUCUUGUUGCCCAGGCUGGAGUACAAUGGCACUGUCUUGGCUCACUGUGGCCUCCACCUCCCGGGUUCAAGCAAUUCUCCUGUCUCACCUCCCAGGUAGCUGGGAUUACAGGUGUGCACCACCAUGCCCGGCCAAUUUUGUAUUUUUUUAGUAGAGACUGGGUUUCACCAUGUUGAUCAGGCUGGUCUCGAACUCCUGACCUCAAGUGAUCCACCUGCAUUGGCCUCCUAAAGUACUGGGAUUACAGGUGUGAGCCCCUGCGCCUGGCCUCAGAUGACCUUUAAUUAGGGAUUCAGACUUUGUGAGGGCUGAUCAUUUUCUAGUUUGGCCUUAUCCCAGAGCUAGGCCUUUCUAUUCUUUCUCAACAUGAACAUCUGUGGUAUUUAACAGGUCCCCAUCUUUGGGUGACCUUGAACUCCAAUUUUUGUACUCCCAGCUCUGUGAGACUGUUGAAAUGUACACUUAGCAUUUUAGCUAUUUAGCAACUGUUUGGUUUCUUGAUUUCCAGUGCCCUUACAGCUUAGAAUUCAGCAAAUGCCUCAAGGAUAAAAGCCAAACUAAAUGUCAGACUGGCUUCUCUAUGAUCCUCCUUUCUUUGGGAUCUGUCCCUUCAAGUCCUAUCCGCAGUUUUCAACUCCAAUUUUUUAUCUCCCCGUAUCUGAAAGGGCCCUGAUACCUCCAGGUCACUGCUUUCUGCUCGCCAUAAAUGCCCUGCACAAAACUCAGCAAAUGACCCAAUCAGAAAAAGCAAUGGAGAAGUUCUGUAUCACUUUAUGCAUCUGUCUUCUGGGAUCCCAGUCUCUCAUGUCUUGACCAUCUUGGUUGCUCUCCAGUGUCUUCAAACAGCCUGUGUAGUUUUUGUUAUGUGUGCUUUUUUAAAUGUUCAGCUCUUGUGCUUAUUCCCAUGAGAGGACUGGUUUAAUUUAAACUAUUCAAUUACAGCUAGAGGCCAUGAUAAAGUUGUUGACUAGAGUAUCUGGAAGAAUGGAGUUGCCAUUUAGUGAUAGAGGGAACGCUGGGGAGGAUCCAUUAUUGGAGUGAGCAUUAGCAGCUUGGUCUGGGGCACAUCAAGCUUGGAAGGCAUGUUAGUCAUCCAAGUGGAGAUGUUGAGUAGACAGUUGGACAUGGGAGUCUAGAGUUUCAGGAGAUUGGUCUGGGCUACAGAAGUGGAUUUUUGAAUCAACAGCCAUGAGACUUGAUAAGAUUACCAAGGGAGUGUAGAGAGAUAAGGCCUUGAGUGUUCCAAUAUUUAGAGUUUGGAAAGAUGAGGAAUAAUCAGCAAAGGAGACUGCAAAAGAGGGCCAACAAAAUGGUAGAAAAUGCGGAAAGCCUGGUCACCUGGGAGUUAAGUAAUGAAAGUGUUUCAAGGAGAAAGUAAUCAGCUGUAUCUAAUGCUAUACAUGUGCUAAGCAAGAUAAGAACAUUGGAUCUAGCAGCAUAGAGGUCUCUGGUGAUCUGAAAAAAGGCAACUUUCAUGAAGUUGUAGAAGAGAAAGUUCAGUUAUAAUGGAUCCUGAAGAGAGUGACAGAAGAGCGAUUUAUGACUCAAGGAAAGAAAAAACAAAUGGGCUGGUAGUUAAAGGGAAAUUGAGUCAAGAAAAGGUUCAAUAUUUUUUAAUGGUAGAAUUGACCGUAUGUGUAUGUGCUUCUAGAAGUGAUUCAGGAGAGAGGGUGGAAUGGAUGGUGUGGGACGGAGGGAAGAAUUGGUGGAAUGAUGUUGGCAAAAAGGAAUAGGCUUUUGUGCAUAAGUUGAGGGAUUGGCCUUGCCUAGAAACAUGGACAAUUCGUCUAUAGUAAGAAGAGAAAAGGUAGAUCUAUGACCACAGACAUAGUCAGAUAAUCAUUUUAAAAUUCUUUAAUCAAUAGAUGUUUCUGAUGUAUGGCAGGCAGUAAGCUAAGCAGUUUACAUACCUGAUUUCAUUUAGUUAUUAUAACAAUCCCAGUCUAACAAUGAGGUAGAUUCUGAUAUUAUUCCCAUUUAAUUUGCAAGGAACUGAAAUUUAGAGAAGUUAAAAUGACUUACCAAAGUCAUAUAGCAAGCAAGUGACAGGACCAAGACUUAAGCCCUUGACUGCUGGACUCUAGAACUUAAGCAAGAAAGCAUCAGCUUAUGAUGUUCAUUGUCCUCCCACUCCCAGAUCCCCCAUUUCUUGCCCCUUUUGCUUGUUCCCCCUCCCCUCAUUCUCCAUAUCCCAAUAAUCACUAAGUCCUGUCCAUUUUACUUCCUCAGUGUUUCUUGCUUCUGGAUCCUCUUUUUUGUAUCCUUCCUAUUCCUACCAGCCUUUGACCUCAUCAUUCUGACCUCAUGUAGUCUAAAUUAAAUCGUCUAUGGAACCAAACAAUAAUCGAACAGAAUGUGAUCCUUGAUCAUGCUUGCUCCAUAACCCACUGCCUAAUGAGUUCAAGUUUCUUAAACUAUGCUAUAAGCCUGCCACUACCCGGUUACUGCGUAUUUUUCGAAUUUCACAUCUCACUGAUUUCUGUCUUGUACUUUUUUUCUCAGCAGAGCUGAGCGCUUGCAGUCCCACUGCAUGAACUAUCAUGUUUCCACGCUGUGUUUGUGCUUUAUGAUUUUUCCUUGUCUCUUUUCCUGGAUUUUUUUUCUACUCCUCUUUUAAACCUCAGCUCCUGUUGCUUUCUCCAGGAAGGCAUUUCUUUUUUUUUUUGAGACAGAGUUUCACUUCUUGUUGCCCAGGCUGGAGUGCAAUGGUGCUAUCUCGGCUCACUGCAACCUCUGCCUCCCAGGUUCAAGCGAUUCUCCUGUCUCAGCCUCCCAAGUAGCUGGGAUUACGGGCAUGCACCACCACACCUGGCUAAUUUUAUAUUUUUAGUAGAGACAGG